rnacentral:ncRNA from 1 species
AUGGUAGAGGCGCGGAGUGCCAUGAGUAACACAGGCGUAUGGCCGGUAAAGGCUGCUUGUGCAAAAGGGACGUUCCGCCGAAAUGAGGGCUGUUUUACCGCAGCUUUCGUUGGUUUGCUGUAAUAAGAUGCCGCAAACUGUCACAUCUGUGGAGAGCUUCCGU